ACUCUCUACAAGGGUAAAGCAAACUGGGAGGUGCUGGUUCUGGCUCCAGAGGGACUGGGGUCUGGGGCCUGUCACCUGGUCCUGCCUGUGUUUCCUGGGAGGAGGACCUGGUUGAUAGAAGAAUUUAUCUCGUAGUCUUAACAUCCACUGUAAUUCCAAACUUUGAGGACGAUAGAGAUCAGUGGGCUUUGACUGCCCAGCAUGCAGUCUCCAUUCUUAGGUCACAGAAUUUUCCACACUCCUUGACAGAGGUGCUUAACCCUUAUCCAUCAGCAUUCUCAGACAGCACCUCCGGUUAGGGACAGUAUCUGACCGUCCGACAUCCCUGCAGCCCCCAUGUGUCACACAGACUCAGCCUCAGGUAGAUGGUUUCC
rnacentral:lncRNA from 10 species